UACGGAGGGUGCAAGCGUUAUCCGGAUUCACUGGGUUUAAAGGGUGCGUAGGUGGGAAAGUAAGUCAGUGGUGAAAUCUCCGUGCUUAACACGGAAACUGCCAUUGAUACUAUUUUUUCUUGAAUUUUUCUGGAGGUCAGCGGAAUAUGUCAUGUAGCGGUGAAAAUGCUUAGAUAUGAACAUAGAACACCAAUUGCGAAGGCAGCUGACUACAGGGAUAAUUGACACUGAGGCACGAAAGCGUGGGGAUCAAACAGG
rnacentral:rRNA from 1 species